rnacentral:rRNA from 1 species
AUUGAACGCUGGCGGCAGGCCUAACACCUGCAAGUCGAGCGGAGCGGCGGACGGGUGAGUAAUGCCUAGUAAUCUGCCUGGUAGUGGUGGAUAACGUCCGGAAACGGGCGCUAAUACCGCAUACUAUCAGAUGAGCCUAGGUCGGAUUAGCUAGUUGGUGGGGUAAAGGCCUACCAAGGCGACGAUCCGUAACUGGUCUGAGAGGAUGAUCAGUCAAACUGGAACUGAGACACGGGCCAGAAUCGUACGGAAGGCAGGAGUGGGGAAUAAGGGACAAUGGGCGAAAGCCGGAGCCAGCCAGGCCGCGGGUGUGAAGAAGGUCUUCGGAUUGUAAAGCACUGUAAGUGGGGAGGCGGUACCAACAGAAUAAGCACCGGCUAACUUCGUGCCAGCAGCCGCGGUAAUAC